AGCCAUGCAUGUCUAAGUAUAAAUAGUAUACAGUGAAACUGCGAAUGGCUCAUUAAAACAGUUAUAGUUUAUUUGAUAAUUGAAUUAUACAUGGAUAACCGUGGUAAUUCUAGAGCUAAUACAUGCAGUAAAACCUGACUUUUUGGAAAGGUUGUAUUUAUUAGAUAUCAAACCAAUAUUCCUUCUGGUCUAUUGUGAUGAUUCAUAAUAACUGAUCGAAGCUCAGCUCGGCUGGGCUAAAUCAUUCAAGUUUCUGCCCUAUCAGCUUUCGAUGGUAGUGUAUUGGACUACCAUGGCAGUCACGGGUAACGGGGAAUUAGGGUUCGAUUCCGGAGAGGGAGCCUGAGAAACGGCUACCACAUCUAAGGAAGGCAGCAGGCGCGUAAAUUACCCAAUCCUGACUCAGGGAGGUAGUGACAAGAAAUAACAACUCGGGGCCUCACGGCUUACGAGCUUGCAAUGAGAACAAUUUAAACCUCUUAUCUAGGAACAAUUGGAGGGCAAGUCUGGUGCCAGCAGCCGCGGUAAUUCCAGCUCCAAUAGCGUAUAUUGAUGUUGUUGCAGUUAAAAAGCUCGUAGUUGAAUGUCUGGUUAAAAUAUUAGCUGGCUUCGGUCGUUAAUAUUUUAAUCAUCCGUUAGAGAACUAUAGACGUCCUUUACUGGUCCCUAUAGAGAUCUAACAUUUUACUUUGAAAAAAUUAGAGUGUUCAAGGCAGGCAAUCGUCAUGAAUACUAUAGCAUGGAAUAAUGGAAUAGGACUUUAGUUCAUUUUAUUGGUUAUUGAACUUUAGUAAUGAUUAACAGGGACAGUUGGGGGCAUUAGUAUUUAAUUGUCAGAGGUGAAAUUCUUGGAUUUAUUAAAGACUAACUUAUGCGAAAGCAUUUGCCAAGGAUGUUUUCAUUAAUCAAGAACGAAAGUUAGGGGAUCAAAGACGAUCAGAUACCGUC
rnacentral:rRNA from 1 species